CAAUAGCGUAUAUUAAAGUUGUUGCAGUUAAAAAGCUCGUAGUUGGAUUUGUGUUUUAGAUGAACGGUUUUUGCUUUUGCAAAGUACUGUUUAUUUGGGACAUUAUUUGUGAGGGUCCUUGACUGGCAUUAAGUUGUUGGUUUUGGAAGCUUGCAUCGUUUACUGUGAAAAAAUUAGAGUGUUUCAAGCAGGCGUUUGCUUUUGAAUACAUUAGCAUGGAAUAAUAGGAUAUGACUAGCGUGGUCUAUUUUGUUGGUUUGCACACGCAAGUAAUGAUUAAUAGGGACAGUUGGGGGUAUUCAUAUUUGAGCGUCAGAGGUGAAAUUCUUGGAUCGCUGAAAGAUGAGCUUAGGCGAAAGCAUUUAUCAUGGAUGUUUUCAUUAA
rnacentral:rRNA from 1 species